rnacentral:sRNA from 1 species
AACCUCUCAAACUUUGCUGAGCUUGAUUAUUCCAUAGAUGUUUGGUUCUUGAUUCUCUAUAUCCUACUCGUUUGUUUUGUAUAGAAGUUUAUUCCUAAUGAAGAAGCAAUCCCAUAGAUAGGAAGUGCCGUAUGACACUUUACACAACAGCGGACUGAACGAGGAUGCAUCCGGUGAUUUCUCAUCCCCCGAGCAGUUUUCCUGAUCCGUUUACGGUCGGGUUCGAGCUGCUCGGUCGGGUUAUCUACCGUACUUCCCACCGUUCUGUGUCCACUGUGUGGGUGAUUUGACACGGGUUCGCUGAGGGGUAACUUGAUUUUUUAUUAGUUAUGAU